CCUACGGGAGGCAUCAGUGAGGAAUAUUGGUCAAUGGUCGGGAGACUGAACCAGCCAAGCCGCGUGAGGGAGGAAGGUACAGAGUAUCGUAAACCUCUUUUGUCAGGGAACAAAGGCGGGGACGUGUCCCCGGAUGAGUGUACCUGAAGAAAAAGCAUCGGCUAACUCCGUGCCAGCAGCCGCGGUAAUACGGAGUAUGCGAGCGUUAUCCGGUUUUAUUGGGUUUAAAGGGUGCGCAGGCGGUCUGUUUAGUCGGCGGUCAAAGCCCGGGGCUCAACCCCGGCCCGCAGUUGAAACUGGCAGUCUCGAGUUGGAGAGAGGUAUGCGGAAUGCGCGGUGUAGCGGUGAAAUGCAUAGAUAUCGCGCAGAACUCCGAUUGCGAAGGCAGCAUGCCGGCUCCACACUGACGCUGAGGCACGAAAGCGUGGGUAGCGAACAGGAUUAGAUACCCGGGUAGUC
rnacentral:rRNA from 1 species